GACGAACGCUGGCGGCGCGCUUAACACAUGCAAGUCGAACGCUGAAGCUCAGCUUUUGUUGGGUGGAUGAGUGGCGAACGGGUGAGUAACACGUGAGUAACCUGCCCCCUUCUUUGGGAUAACGCCCGGAAACGGGUGCUAAUACUGGAUAUUCACUGGUCUUCGCAUGGGGGUUGGUGGAAAGGGUUUUUCUGGUGGGGGAUGGGCUCGCGGCCUAUCAGCUUGUUGGUGGGGUGAUGGCCUACCAAGGCUUUGACGGGUAGCCGGCCUGAGAGGGUGACCGGUCACAUUGGGACUGAGAUACGGCCCAGACUCCUACGGGAGGCAGCAGUGGGGAAUAUUGCACAAUGGGCGCAAGCCUGAUGCAGCGACGCCGCGUGAGGGAUGGAGGCCUUCGGGUUGUGAACCUCUUUCGCUCAUGGUCAAGCCGCAACAAUGGUUGUGGUGAGGGUAGUGGGUAAAGAAGCGCCGGCUAACUACGUG
rnacentral:rRNA from 1 species